AACACAUGCAAGUCGAGCGGUAACAGGUGUAGCAAUACAUGCUGACGAGCGGCGAACGGGUGAGUAAUGCUUCGGAAUCUGCCCAAUGGUGGGGAAUAACCAGCUGAAAGGUUGGCUAAUACCGCAUAAGUCCUACGGGGGAAAGCAGGGGAUCGCAAGACCUUGCGCCGAUGGAUGAGCCGAAGUCGGAUUAGCUAGUUGGUAGGGUAACGGCCUACCAAGGCGACGAUCCGUAGCUGGUCUGAGAGGACGACCAGCCACACUGGGACUGAGACACGGCCCAGACUCCUACGGGAGGCAGCAGUGGGGAAUAUUGGACAAUGGGGGAAACCCUGAUCCAGCGACGCCGCGUGUGUGAAGAAGGCCUGCGGGUUGUAAAGCACUUUUAGUGGGGAUGAAAAGCUCAGGGCUAAUACCUCUGGGUCUUGACCUAACCCAAAGAAAAAGCACCGGCUAACUCUGUGCCAGCAGCCGCGGUAAUACAGAGGGUGCGAGCGUUAAUCGGAAUUACUGGGCGUAAAGCGUGCGUANACGGUUAUGUAAGUCGGGUGUGAAAGCCCCGGGCUCA
rnacentral:rRNA from 1 species